UACGAAGGGGGCUAGCGUUGCUCGGAAUUACUGGGCGUAAAGCGCACGUAGGCGGAUCUUUAAGUCAGGGGUGAAAUCCUGGAGCUCAACUCCAGAACUGCCUUUGAUACUGAGGAUCUUGAGUUCGGGAGAGGUGAGUGGAACUGCGAGUGUAGAGGUGAAAUUCGUAGAUAUUCGCAAGAACACCAGUGGCGAAGGCGGCUCACUGGCCCGAUACUGGCGCUGAGGCGCGAAAGCGUGGGGAGCAAACAGG
rnacentral:rRNA from 1 species